AUGUUUUGCUCGGUGAAGCUGAACAUCUUUCCCCUCUGCCUGGCGCUGCUGAUAUGUCGAUGUAUCUCGGGACGAGUACUGCAGUCUCCACCUGCAAUUACCAGCCGCAGCGGAGAAUCCGUACGGAUGAACUGCACCUAUGACACAGCCGGCGUUGUCUACACUUACUGGUACAGACAGAAAUCCGGGAAGGGCCUGGAAUGGAUAUUAAAGGGAGCAGUAGCUGGGAUAGAGAACAAAGGUCGCUUUAAAUUGGAUUUAUCCCCUGCGGACAAACGGGGCCAGUUUAUAAUCGACAGCCCCGAGAGCGCGGACACCGCGCUAUAUUACUGCGCGACACAGCCUCACAUUGUUAGGGACCGUGACGGUCCCUGCACAAAAACCUCUCCCUACGCAGAGAGUUUUUGUAAAGGCUCAGCCCUGCUCUGCGUCGUUGCGGGGUUCAGGCCGCAGUAA